rnacentral:rRNA from 1 species
AACGAACGCUGGCGGCAGGCUUAACACAUGCAAGUCGAACGGGUGCAGCAAUGCAUCAGUGGCAGACGGGUGAGUAACACGUGGGAACCUUCCUAGGGGUACGGAACAACUCAGGGAAACUUGAGCUAAUACCGUAUACGUACGUGAGGAGAAAGAUUUAUCGCCCUUAGACGGGCCCGCGUCGGAUUAGCUAGUUGGUGGGGUAACGGCCUACCAAGGCGACGAUCCGUAGCUGAUCUUAGAGGAUGAUCAGCCACACUGGGACUGAGACACGGCCCAGACUCCUACGGGAGGCAGCAGUGGGGAAUCUUGGACAAUGGGCGCAAGCCUGAUCCAGCCAUGCCGCGUGAGUGAAGAAGGUCUUCGGAUUGUAAAGCUCUUUUGCCAGGGACGAUAAUGACGGUACCUGGAGAAUAAGCCCCGGCAAACUUCGUGCCAGCCGCCGCCGUAA